rnacentral:lncRNA from 1 species
AUGAGUAAUGAACGCACCCUGCCCGGUCCCAGGGCGCAGGACGCGGUCGGCCAGGCCGCCGGGAGGCCCAGCUGCGGGCGGCGGCGCGGGCGGAGCGGCCAAGGCGGUUGGUUAAAGGCGCAGCCACGGCGGCGAGAGCGCGCGCCCUNNNNGGGGGGGGGGGGGGGGGGUCCUGGGGGCCGGCCCGGAGCCGGUGCAUUAAUCACGCCGCUCCCCCGGCUAAGGGGCAGCGCCCGGGGAGCAGCCCCGACGCCGGAACAAAGGCAGAACGUGAUGAAGGGCGCACCUCUGCCAAUGCGGGCUUUGCAGAGGGGCUGGGAAAUGAAGGGCCCUUACCUCCGCGGCCAGGUGGUGUUCGUUUUGAUUCUUGUGGAAGUAUCAAGAAACCAACUUUGUAGUGUACUAAAGAUGGAUAGAGCAGAUAAGAUCAUGGAAAGCACGAGAGACUGGGCACUUGCUACUUCAAGAUGAAUGGCAUUUCAAGAUUCAAGUCCCUUGUUAACCUUCGUAAUCUGCUGCAAAUAUAACCCUUUUGACCAAGUAUUUGGAAGGAAUAAAAAU